UACAGAGGGGGCAAGCGUUAUUCGGAAUUAUUGGGCGUAAAGGGCGCGUAGGCGGCCUUGCAAGUGACGGGUGAAAUCCCCCGGCUUAACCUGGGAACUGCGUCUGAUACUGGAAGGCUUGAGGAUGGGAGAGGGAUGUAGAAUUCCAGGUGUAGCGGUGAAAUGCGUAGAUAUCUGGAGGAAUACCGGUGGCGAAGGCGGCAUCCUGGACCAUUACUGACGCUGAGGCGCGAAAGCUAGGGGAGCAAACGGG
rnacentral:rRNA from 1 species